rnacentral:rRNA from 1 species
UAGUUUUUUAAUUUGGGACUGGAAUGAAAGAGUAAACCGGGAGAAUUUUUUUUUAUCUAAAAAAAUGAAUUUUACUUUUUAGUAAGAAGGCUAAAAUAGCUCUUUUAGACAAGAAGACCCUAUAAAACUUUAUAUUUUCUGCUAAUAAAUGAAGGAGAAAAGUAUUUUACUGGGGCGGUAAAGAAAAAUUCUUUCUUUAAGAAAGAAGACAACUAGUUUUUAUACCUAGAAAUUCUAAAAUAGAAAUAAGUUACUUUAGGGAUAACAGUUUAAUUUACUUAGAAAGAUCAAAUUKACAAGUAAGUUUAUGACCUCGAUGUUGAAUUAAAAUUCCUUCCUUGCGCAAAAGUUUUGGAAGGAGUUUGUUCGUAAAAGACCUUUUUUGUGCAAAAGUUUAAAWAGGAGUUUGUUUGACCUUU